rnacentral:rRNA from 1 species
UACGUAGGGGGCUAGCGUUGUCCGGAAUCAUUGGGCGUAAAGAGCGUGUAGGCGGUUCGGUAAGUCCGCUGUGAAAGUCCAGGGCUCAACCCUGGAAUGCCGGUGGAAACUGUCGAGCUAGAGUCCGGAAGAGGCGAGUGGAAUUCCUGGUGUAGCGGUGAAAUGCGCAGAUAUCAGGAGGAACACCAAUGGCGAAGGCAGCUCGCUGGGACGGUACUGACGCUGAGACGCGAAAGCGUGGGGAGCAAACAGG